AGUGAUUGUUGCUUCCUGUUAUUUUGAUGUUAUUUUUAUGCUAUGUUAUCUUCUUUUGGGUUUGUUGAAAGAAGAUUACUUUCUUGCUUUUUCUAGGGUAUAGUUUCCCUCCUUGUGUUGGAGUUUUCCAUCUAUUAUCCUUUGUAGGGCUGAAUUUGUGGAAAGAUAUUGUGUAAAUUUGUUUUUGUCAUGGAAUAUCUUGCUUUCUAGAUCUAUGGUAAUUGAGAGUUUUGCUAGCAUCUGUGUUCUCUUAGGGCCGGUAUAACAUCUGCCCAGGAUCUUCUAGCUUUCAUAGUCUAUGGUGAGAAGUCUAGUGUAAUUUUUAUAGGUCUGCCUUUAUAUGUUAUUUGACCUUUUUCCCUUUAAUAUUCUUUCUUUGUUUUGUGCAUUUGAUGCUUUGGCUAUUAUGUGACAGGAGGAAUUCCCUUUCUGGUCCAGUCUAUUUGGAGUUCUGUAGGCUUCUUAUUAUGUUCAUGGACAUCUCUUUCUUUAGGUUGGGGAAGUUUUCUUCUAUAAUUUUGUUGGCGCUUUAAGUAGGGAAUCUUCACACUCUUCUAUACCUGUUAUCCUUAGGUUUGGUCUUCUCAUUGUGUCCUGGAUUUCCUGAAUGUUUGGGGUUAGGAGCUUUUUGCAUUUUGCAUUUUCUUUGACUGUUGUGUCAGUAUGUUCUAUGGUAUCUUCUGCACCUGAGAUUCUCUCUUCCAUCUCUUGUAUUCUGUUGGUAAUGCUUGCAUCUAUGACUCCUGAUCUCUCUUCUAGGUUUUCUAUCACCAGGGCUGUCUCCCUUUGUGAUUUCUUUAUUGUUUCUAUUUCCAUUUUUAGUUCCUAGAUGGUUUUGUUUCAUUCCUUCACCUGUUUCAUUGUGUUUUCCUGUAGUUCUUUAAGGGAUUUUUGUGUUUCCUCUUUAAGGGCUUCUAAGCUGUUUAGCUGUGUUCUCCUGCAUUUCUUUAUGGGAGUUAUUUAUGUCCUUCUUAAAGUUCUCUAUCAUCAUCAUGAGAUGUGAUUGAUGUCUUGUUUUUCCAGUGUGUUGGGGUAUCCAGGGCUCACUGUGGUGGGAGAACUGUGUUUUGAUGAUGCCAAGUAGCCUUGGUUUCUGUUGCUUAUGUUCUUGCCCUUGCCUCUCACCAGGUGGUCAUCUCUGGUGUUAGCUGGUCAUGCUGUCUCUGACUGUGGCUUGUCCCUCCUGCAAGCCUGUGUGUCAGUACUCCUGGGAGACCAGUUCUCUCCGGGAGGAAUUUGGGUCUGGAGGACUGUGGCACAGGGUCAGCUCCAGGCACAGAUGGGAACCGGAGGGAUCCUUCUCCAGGCUCCUCAGUUUCUCUGCCCUGAGGAUUCUGGGCAGGUUCCUUUGAGCAGAAUUGGUGGUCUUACUUGUGCUCACAGGCAUCUCUGCCCUCUUGGGUUUGGAGUGCUGUGGCAUAGGAUCAGCUGAGGGAGCUCCUGUUUCCCCUUCUCUCUUUCCAUUUUUGUCUUUGUGAGACAGGCACUCACUCUAUGGUUUAGGCUGGCCUGGAACUUACACAGCCCAGGCUGCCUUCAAACUCACAGUUCUUUUGUCUCCAUCUGCUGAGUUCUGGAAUUACAGGUGGGCAUUGUCACUCCUAGCUUGUUGGGUUUUUUAUAUAUAUUUUAAAUCUCAAAUUAUUUAUUGUUCCUUAUGAAUUUUUCCGAUUAACUUUUUUUGUUGUUUGUUUGUUUGUUUGUUUGUUUUUUUCAAGAUAGGGUUUCUCUGUGUAGCCCUUGCUGCUUUAUAGACCUCAAACUCACAAAGAUCCAUCUGCCUUUAUCCCCCGAGUACUGGGAUUAAAGGCCUGUGAUACCACACAAGGGCAAUUAUGUGAUUUUAAAAUAUAUGCAUUUAAUUUUAUCAGGGAGGAGAGGUUGGGGAGAUACUCCUGGAGGCCAGAAGAAUUUUUUAGAGUCCUCUGGAGCCAAAGUUACAGACAGUUUUGAGCUGCCCAGUGUGGGUGCUGGGAACCAAAAUUGGGUCUUUUGCAAGAUCAGGAAUCACUCUUGAGGGCUGAGCCAUCUCUCUGGCCCUGAGUAUGUUGGUUUUAAGUCCUUUAUUCUGUUCAUAUGGUGUAUCACACACUGGCUCAUUUUCGUGUGUUGACACAUCUUUUGUAUGUUGAAGUAUCUUACGGGUAUAUCUCAUGUGGUAUAUGGUCUUGGUUUGGUAUGACACCCAACCUCACAGGCAAGCAACAUGAGAACAGAUAAGAAGCAGAUAUUAACCUAGAACCUCUGCAUAACAAAGCAAGCAGCAGAGUGGAUAGGCGAUCUGUGGAACAACCUACGCAACAGCCACAUUUCAAAAACUUGAUCUGGACUGAGAGUCAGCUCAGCAGAAAAGAGCACUUGAUGCUCGUGCUGAGGGCUAGAGUUCAGAUCCCACAUUAAGGGGCUCACAAAUGCCUAUGACUUCCACUAAGAGGCAUUUGACUCCUCUUUUGGUCUCUGUGAUGACCUGCACACACACACACACACACACACAUGCACACAAACACUCAUGUACACACACAACAUUAAAUAAACAAGUAUCUUUUCUUAAACAUAGUUCAUCUGAAGCGAGGCAGUGAUGGCACAUGCCUUUAAUCCCAGCACCCAGGAGAUAGAGACAGGUGGAUCUCUGUGAAUUUGAGGCCAUCCAGGGCUUGGGAAAUAGCCCAGUUGGAAAAGUGUUUGGCACACAAGAAUGAGGACUAAAUUGCAUCCCCAGAAAUCACAUUUUUAAAGAUCCACAUGCAGCACUGACUGGAUUCAGUGUCAGAUCCUGAAGUUACAGACAUCUAUGAGUUGCCAUGUGGAUCCUGGAAAUUGAACUAGGGUCGUUUGGAAGAGGAGUCAGUGCUCUAACCACUGAUCAAUCUCUCCAGCCCCAAGUUUUAAGAAAUUACAAAGCAAAAGCAGGCGUGAUGGAAGGGCUGACGAGCUAGAUGGUGGUGAUGCCUGCAUAGUCCUGGAAAAGCCCGGUCAGGCAGCCCAUGUCUUUAAUCCCAACAUUUUAGAGGGAGAGGUAGGAGAAUCAGUUGUUCAGGGUCAUUUUUGGCCAGACUUAUCUACAUGAAUACCUGUCUAAAAAAAAAAAAAGAAGAAGAAGAAAAAGAGGAGGAGGAAGAGGAAGAAGAGGAGAAGAAAGAGAAGAGGAAAGAGGAAAAAAGAGGAAAGAAGAAAGAACAGAAGGAGGAGGAGGAGGAGGAGGAGGAGGAAGAGGAGGAGGAGGAGAAAAAAAAGAAAGCCAGCCAAAAAUCCCAGCCUGGACUGAGGAGGGGCUCAUGAGAUCCACCCCCAAGAGAGAUGCUGUCAGCAGAUGAUGGUUGCUGGGACGGAGCAGUCUUUUCUUCAGGGAUGCAGCCCCUGAGAGGCUGCUUAUCCUCCAGCAGAGGGUCCUACACUCCUGCACAUUCUGGGGGGGGGGGGGUUAAAAGAGCACAUGCAGUCAGGAGGGGAAAGCUGUGGUGGGGAGGGGUUGUGGGGGUGGAUUUGAGCAACAUACAUAGACAUGCAUGACAUUCCUAAAUAAUAAAAUCAUCUUGUAAAUAUGUUAAGGUAUACUGAAUAAUUCAAUUCAAAGGAACAGUUUUAUGGACUAUAUAUGAAUUAUAUCUCAAUUUCUCAAAUGUAAAUCUGUAGUCAUCAUAUAGUCUGUGCUCAGAAAUCUUAAGCUACAUUCCCAGGCCCAUAGAAAGCUUCUUUCCCAGAUAAAGUAAUAUUUUAAAGUGUCAAACUCCAGCCGGGCGUUGUGGUGCACGCCUUUAGUCCCAGCACUCGGGAGGCAGAGGCAGGCAGAUUUCUGAGUUCUAGGCCAGCCUAGUCUACAAAGUGAGUUCCAGGACAGCCAGGGCUACACAGAGAAACCCUGUCUCGAAAAACCAAACCAAACCAAACAAAAAAAUGUCAAACUCCACUGCUGAAUUAUUAUACUGUACCCA
rnacentral:lncRNA from 1 species